GAUGAACGCUGGCGGCGUGCCUAAUACAUGCAAGUCGAGCGAACAGACGAGGAGCUUGCUCCUCUGACGUUAGCGGCGGACGGGUGAGUAACACGUGGAUAACCUACCUAUAAGACUGGGAUAACUUCGGGAAACCGGAGCUAAUACCGGAUAAUAUAUUGAACCGCAUGGUUCAAUAGUGAAAGACGGUUUUGCUGUCACUUAUAGAUGGAUCCGCGACGCAUUAGCUAGUUGGUAAGGUAACGGCUUACCAAGGCGACGAUGCGUAGCCGACCUGAGAGGGUGAUCGGCCACACUGGAACUGAGACACGGUCCAGACUCCUAAGGGAGGCAGCAGUAGGGAAUCUUCCGCAAUGGGCGUAAGCCUGACAGAGCAAAGCCGCGUGAGUGAUGAAGGUCUUCGGAUCGUGAAACUCUGUUAUUAGGGAAGAACAAAUGUGUAAGUAACUAUGCACGUCUUGACGGUACCUAAUCAGAAAGCCACGGCUAACUACGUG
rnacentral:rRNA from 1 species